rnacentral:rRNA from 1 species
UACGAAGGUGGCAAGCGUUACUCGGAAUUACUAGGCGUAAAGCGCAGGUAGGUGGUUGUGUAAGUCUGCUGUGAAAGCUCCCGGCUUAACUGGGAGAGGUCAGCGGAUACUGCAUAGCUAGAGUGUGGGAGAGGGUACUGGAAUUCCCGGUGUAGCGGUGAAAUGCGCAGAGAUCGGGAGGAACACCUAAGGCGAAAGCAGGUACCUGGACCAUUACUGACACUGAGCUGCGAAAGCUAGGGGAGCAAACAGG